rnacentral:rRNA from 1 species
GAUGAACGCUGGCGGCGUGCCUAAUACAUGCAAGUCGAGCGAACGGACGAGAAGCUUGCUUCUCUGAUGUUAGCGGCGGACGGGUGAGUAACACGUGGAUAACCUACCUAUAAGACUGGGAUAACUUCGGGAAACCGGAGCUAAUACCGGAUAAUAUUUUGAACCGCAUGGUUCAAAAGUGAAAGACGGUCUUGCUGUCACUUAUAGAUGGAUCCGCGCUGCAUUAGCUAGUUGGUAAGGUAACGGCUUACCAAGGCAACGAUGCAUAGCCGACCUGAGAGGGUGAUCGGCCACACUGGAACUGAGACACGGUCCAGACUCCUACGGGAGGCAGCAGUAGGGAAUCUUCCGCAAUGGGCGAAAGCCUGACGGAGCAACGCCGCGUGAGUGAUGAAGGUCUUCGGAUCGUAAAACUCUGUUAUUAGGGAAGAACAUAUGUGUAAGUAACUGUGCACAUCUUGACGGUACCUAAUCAGAAAGCCACGGCUAACUACGUGCCAGCAGCCGCGGUAAUACGUAGGUGGCAAGCGUUAUCCGGAAUUAUUGGGCGUAAAGCGCGCGUAGGCGGUUUUUUAAGUCUGAUGUGAGAGCCCACGGCUCAACCGUGGAGGGUCAUUGGAAACUGGAAAACUUGAGUGCAGAAGAGGAAAGUGGAAUUCCAUGUGUAGCGGUGAAAUGCGCAGAGAUAUGGAGGAACACCAGUGGCGAAGGCGACUUUCUGGUCUGUAACUGACGCUGAUGUGCGAAAGCGUGGGGAUCAAACAGG